rnacentral:rRNA from 1 species
UACAGAGGUCUCAAGCGUUGUUCGGAUUCAUUGGGCGUAAAGGGUGCGUAGGCGGCGCGGUAAGUCGGGUGUGAAAUCUCGGAGCUUAACUCCGAAACUGCAUUCGAUACUGCCGUGCUUGAGGACUGGAGAGGAGACUGGAAUUUACGGUGUAGCGGUGAAAUGCGUAGAUAUCGUAAGGAAGACCAGUGGCGAAGGCGAGUCCCUGGACACUUCCUGACACUGAGGCACGAAAGCUAGGGGAGCAAACAGG